UUGGGUGAUUACAGUGGUUUACAAAUGUGAUGGCUUACAGAGUUGGACAUUUAUUCUUGUAUUUUUUUAAACAUUUGUUUUCUCACUUCUAUCAGUUUGAGUAAGAUAUUACUGAAAGCAAAAGAGAUGUUUCCUUUUUUUUUAAUUUUUAUUUAAACUUAAACUUCUUUACUCCAAAAUAAAGAGAUAUUGAACACCGAAAGACAUGCUUAAAGUUCUACCUAGUGCACAAGGCAUUCUUGUGGACAUCUAGAACAAGCUAUGGGAAAAUUGUAUGUUGUCUCUGAUGACAAUGCAUAGAAGUUUUACUAAAGUAACUCUAUGAUUUGCUGCAGAAAGACAGUGAUGCUGUCAAAGAGGCACUUGAUCAGCUGAGUGAAGUUGGUUGGGCGAACAAAUGGAGUUCUCAACCAUAUGUAUCAUGUCGUAUGGUCAGUGUCCAUAACAAGUGUGAAGUUCUGGGAAAGUGCUACUCAAACAUUAGCCACAUCUACAAAUCUAUGCAUAAAUACCUCUCGUCGGGAGCUGACAACUCUUGGAAUUAAAAACGCGGAGAACCUUGCAAUCCCAAGUGUUAGAAAUGAUGCAGCUUUUCUCUUUACAGUGGUAGGGACAACAGGCUUUUUGGGUGUUCUUGCCGGUCAGCUUCCUCGGGUAACUUCACAUAAUAUCCUCUUUCUCCGAU